UACGUAGGCAGCGAGCGUUGUUCGGAGUUACUGGGCGUAAAGGGUGUGUAGGCGGUUAUUUAAAGUUUGGUGUGAAAUCUCCCGGCUCAACCGGGAGGGUGCGCCGAAUACUGAAUGACUUCGAGUGCGGGAGAGGAGAGUGGAAUUCCUGGUGUAGCGGUGAAAUGCGUAGAUAUCAGGAAGAACACCAAUGGCGAAGGCAGCUCUCUGGGACGGUACUGACGCUGAGACGCGAAAGCGUGGGGAGCGAACAGG
rnacentral:rRNA from 1 species